rnacentral:rRNA from 1 species
UAGCGUAGGUGGCAAGCGUUGUUCGGAAUUACUGGGCGUAAAGCGCGCGUAGGCGGCUCUUCAAGUCAGGCGUGAAAGCCCCGGGCUUAACUCGGGAACUGCGCUUGAUACUGUCGAGCUAGAGUGUGGAAGGGGCGAUUGGAAUUCCGUGUGUAGCGGUGAAAUGCGUAGAUAUACGGAGGAACACCAGGGGCGAAGGCGGAUCGCUGGGCCAACACUGACGCUGAUGCGCGAAAGCUAGGGGAGCAAACGGG